GGACGCAGUGAGAAGGUGGCUAUCUUGGGCUUCCAUCCAGUCUCUAAAACUAAAUGGCACUCUGACAUAGAGAAAACAAAAGGACUGCCAUCUUCAGCGUAACUCCCUGCAAGUCUGAUUGAAGUGGUUUUACUAAGAGAUGUAUUGGUCCCAUCUGUGGUUGGUUCAGCAGAAUGCAGUUGGCCAUCUAUCUUCAAUCUGAGAACCUGAGAAUGGAAGUCACUCAUGUGUGGAUCUCCCUCGGACCAGGCAGAGUCCUGACCUGGUCUCAGGCUCACCCUGAUGUGAAUUACAUUACCUUGAGGUGAACAGUCCUUCUUUGCAACACUCUCCCAGCAUGAAAUACGCUUCUGUCAUCGGCCCAAAUAAACUGGAACAAGUGACAGUGGAUGGAAAUCUCUGAAA